UCCACUUUACAUCAACAAUAAAUUGGACAAGAAAUUGACCAAGUUAUUCAAGGCCAAAUUUGACGUGUAAAAGCACACUUUGACAUCUAAGUUUGUUCGUUAUAAACUUCACGUGAAGAAAUUGACGAAAAAGAAAAUUGUUCUAUUUUUUCAUUUAUUUGGCGUGAAUUCAGUGUCACCAACCUGUGUCCAUUUGGCGGGAAGUGGAAGUAGAGCUUUUUGUUUAUUAUUAUUUGUUGAGGUUGAGUCUUUCAUGUUCAUGACAACCUAAAAAUUUUGAUUGGAAAAUGCAUAUAAGAUAAGGGGGUGGGAAAAUGGAAAUUAGUGGCUUUUUUGCAGUUCUGUCUGUUAGUUUUGCUCUGGCUGGGUCUCUUUUGUUUAAACAAUUAUAAUCAGCUGAAAGUGGUCUACAAAAAAACCAGGAAGGAAACGUAUUAUAGCCUUGUUGUGGCUAUGAAAGGCAAAAGAAAGAUACCUAUAAAAAGUGUGUUGACUAGUUGGAAGAAACUCCACAUUGUCGAUGCAUAAUAAGAUAUUACUUUAUAAACAAAUAUCAAGACCUAGGAAUGGAACCUGGAUAAUAUAGUCAUCAAGAAGAUAGCAGGAGGUCAUGAGCAACAACAACUUCAUAAGUAUGAGAAUAUUGAGGAAAUCCAGCUCCUCGAUAUCUACUACUGGACAAACUAGAAGAUUGAAGAGGACAAAGCCUUUUGAACUAGUUUGAGUGAUAGGUGAUAGUGAAAAGCAGAGCGUAGUGCUUGUGUGCCUGUGUAUGUUAGAAUAGUGCACGAUCUUGUUAGAUUAGAUAAGAGACGCUAUAGGGUAAGCUCUUCAUUUUAAGGAACAGUAGUAAUUUAGGUUAAAUUAAAAUUGCUCAUUGGUCAGUUAUGACCAGAUUGUAAUUCUCUGAUGUUUGGCAAAAAGGGCUGAAGUCAGAAUUGCACAUCAAUAAUGUUUUGAUGAUUUCUGGACCAUAAAAAAAGUGUUGCAGACUUAAACUGUAUGUACCAAUAAAAAGAGCCGAUUUUUCUGGUCCAGAAAUCAUCAAAACAUUAUCGAUGUGCAAUUCUGACUUAAGCCCUUUUUCCCAAACAUCAGAGAAUUGCAAUGUACAAUUCAAUACAAAUGAAUCAUCAUCGUAGUGAUGAUUAUGGAAAAAAAUAUAUAUAUAUAUAUAGAAAUAUAUAUAUUUUGUGCAAUAAAAAUGUUUAUAUUUA